rnacentral:rRNA from 1 species
GAUGAACGCUGGCGGCGUGCCUAAUACAUGCAAGUCGAGCGAACGGACGAGAAGCUUGCUUCUCUGAUGUUAGCGGCGGACGGGUGAGUAACACGUGGAUAACCUACCUAUAAGACUGGGAUAACUUCGGGAAACCGGAGCUAAUACCGGAUAAUAUUUUGAACCGCAUGGUUCAAAAGUGAAAGACGGUCUUGCUGUCACUUAUAGAUGGAUCCGCGCUGCAUUAGCUAGUUGGUAAGGUAACGGCCUACCAAGGCAACGAUGCAUAGCCGACCUGAGAGGGUGAUCGGCCACACUGGAACUGAGACACGGUCCAGACUCCUACGGGAGGCAGCAGUAGGGAAUCUUCCGCAAUGGGCGAAAGCCUGACGGAGCAACGCCGCGUGAGUGAUGAAGGUCUUCGGAUCGUAAAACUCUGUUAUUAGGGAAGAACAUAUGUGUAAGUAACUGUGCACAUCUUGACGGUACCUAAUCAGAAAGCCACGGCUAACUACGUGCCAGCAGCCGCGGUAAUACGUAGGUGGCAAGCGUUAUCCGGAAUUAUUGGGCGUAAAGCGCGCGUAGGCGGUUUUUUAAGUCUGAUGUGAAAGCCCACGGCUCAACCGUGGAGGGUCAUUGGAAACUGGAAAACUUGAGUGCAGAAGAGGAAAGUGGAAUUCCAUGUGUAGCGGUGAAAUGCGCAGAGAUAUGGAGGAACACCAGUGGCGAAGGCGACUUUCUGGUCUGUAACUGACGCUGAUGUGCGAAAGCGUGGGGAUCAAACAGGAUUAGAUACCCUGGUAGUCCACGCCGUAAACGAUGAGUGCUAAGUGUUAGGGGGUUUCCGCCCCUUAGUGCUGCAGCUAACGCAUUAAGCACUCCGCCUGGGGAGUACGACCGCAAGGUUGAAACUCAAAGGAAUUGACGGGGACCCGCACAAGCGGUGGAGCAUGUGGUUUAAUUCGAAGCAACGCGAAGAACCUUACCAAAUCUUGACAUCCUUUGACAACUCUAGAGAUAGAGCCUUCCCCUUCGGGGGACAAAGUGACAGGUGGUGCAUGGUUGUCGUCAGCUCGUGUCGUGAGAUGUUGGGUUAAGUCCCGCAACGAGCGCAACCCUUAAGCUUAGUUGCCAUCAUUAAGUUGGGCACUCUAAGUUGACUGCCGGUGACAAACCGGAGGAAGGUGGGGAUGACGUCAAAUCAUCAUGCCCCUUAUGAUUUGGGCUACACACGUGCUACAAUGGACAAUACAAAGGGCAGCGAAACCGCGAGGUCAAGCAAAUCCCAUAAAGUUGUUCUCAGUCCGGAUUGUAGUCUGCAACUCGACUGCAUGAAGCUGGAAUCGCUAGUAAUCGUAGAUCAGCAUGCUACGGUGAAUACGUUCCCGGGUCU